CGGGACACGUGGUAUCCUGUCUGAAUAUGGGGGGACCAUCCUCCAAGGCUAAAUACUCCUGACUGACCGAUAGUGAACCAGUACCGUGAGGGAAAGGCGAAAAGAACCCCGGCGAGGGGAGUGAAAAAGAACCUGAAACCGUGUACGUACAAGCAGUGGGAGCACGCUUAGGCGUGUGACUGCGUACCUUUUGUAUAAUGGGUCAGCGACUUAUAUUCUGUAGCAAGGUUAACCGAAUAGGGGAGCCGAAGGGAAACCGAGUCUUAACUGGGCGUUAAGUUGCAGGGUAUAGACCCGAAACCCGGUGAUCUAGCCAUGGGCAGGUUGAAGGUUGGGUAACACUAACUGGAGGACCGAACCGACUAAUGUUGAAAAAUUAGCGGAUGACUUGUGGCUGGGGGUGAAAGGCCAAUCAAACCGGGAGAUAGCUGGUUCUCCCCGAAAGCUAUUUAGGUAGCGCCUCGUGAAUUCAUCUCCGGGGGUAGAGCACUGUUUCGGCAAGGGGGUCAUCCCGACUUACCAACCCGAUGCAAACUGCGAAUACCGGAGAAUGUUAUCACGGGAGACACACGGCGGGUGCUAACGUCCGUCGUGAAGAGGGAAACAACCCAGACCGCCAGCUAAGGUCCCAAAGUCAUGGUUAAGUGGGAAACGAUGUGGGAAGGCCCAGACAGCCAGGAUGUUGGCUUAGAAGCAGCCAUCAUUUAAAGAAAGCGUAAUAGCUCACUGGUCGAGUCGGCCUGCGCGGAAGAUGUAACGGGGCUAAACCAUGCACCGAAGCUGCGGCAGCGACGCUGAUGCGUUGUUGGGUAGGGGAGCGUUCUGUAAGCCUGUGAAGGUGUGCUGUGAGGCAUGCUGGAGGUAUCAGAAGUGCGAAUGCUGACAUAAGUAACGAUAAAGCGGGUGAAAAGCCCGCUCGCCGGAAGACCAAGGGUUCCUGUCCAACGUUAAUCGGGGCAGGGUGAGUCGACCCCUAAGGCGAGGCCGAAAGGCGUAGUCGAUGGGAAACAGGUUAAUAUUCCUGUACUUGGUGUUACUGCGAAGGGGGGACGGAGAAGGCUAUGUUGGCCGGGCGACGGUUGUCCCGGUUUAAGCGUGUAGGCUGGUUUUCCAGGCAAAUCCGGAAAAUCAAGGCUGAGGCGUGAUGACGAGGCACUACGGUGCUGAAGCAACAAAUGCCCUGCUUCCAGGAAAAGCCUCUAAGCAUCAGGUAACAUCAAAUCGUACCCCAAACCGACACAGGUGGUCAGGUAGAGAAUACCAAGGCGCUUGAGAGAACUCGGGUGAAGGAACUAGGCAAAAUGGUGCCGUAACUUCGGGA
rnacentral:rRNA from 1 species